AACGAACGCUGGCGGCAGGCUUAACACAUGCAAGUCGAACGGGCAUAGCAAUAUGUCAGUGGCAGACGGGUGAGUAACACGUGGGAACCUUCCUAGAGGUACGGAACAACGCAGGGAAACUUGUGCUAAUACCGUAUACGCCCGAGAGAGGAAAGAUUUAUAGCUAUUAGACGGGCCCUCGUAGGAUUAGGUAGUUGGUGAGGUAACGGCUCAACAAGCCUACGAUCCUUAGCUGAUCUGAGAGGAUGAUCAGCCACACUGGGACUGAGACACGGCCCAGACUCCUACGGGAGGCAGCAGUGGGGAAUCUUGGACAAUGGGCGCAAGCCUGAUCCAGCCAUGCCGCGUGAGUGAAGAAGGCCUUCGGGUUGUAAAGCUCUUUUACCAGGGACGAUAAUGACGGUACCUGGAGAAUAAGCCCCGGCUAACUUCGUGCCAGCCGCCGCCGUAA
rnacentral:rRNA from 1 species